rnacentral:lncRNA from 1 species
AAGUUCUAAGGGAAGCAAUAUCUGCAAACAUUUUUGGAGUAAUUGAUGUAUUAGAUUACAUUAAGAAAAUAAACUAUUGUUAUGCAAAUGCCUGGAUUGCUUAUAGAGUAUUAUUGACUAUUACUGUCACAGUUACCUCUGGCGAAAAAAGUUUUUCAAAGUUGAAGUUAAUUAAAUCUUAUCUUCGAUCAUCCAUGUCACAAGAGCGAUUGAAUGGAUUAGCUAUGAUUUCUAUUGAAAAAAAAUAUGUUGGACAAACUUGAUGUUAGUAGUUUGAUUACUAAUUUUAUAUCUCAAAAUGUGAGAAGGUUAAAUCUUAUGCUAGCUUAAUUUUUCGGGUUGUGAAAGAAGUUUUAUUUUGUUAUUCUAUUUUUCAAAUUAUAUAAAGUUUUCUUUCUAAUAUAAAAGUGUUAAUUAUUUAAAUAUUUGCAUAUUGGUGACUUGUAAAAUAAAUUUUGUGUUGAGAAAUCCCAUAAUAAUUAAAUGCCUAGGGCCUCUAGAUUCUCAGAACCGGCCCUGGAAAACAACCUCGUAUUCACUUCCAUACAGACCUCAAGAAAGAAAGAAACAAUCAAACCCUUAAAAAUGAUCUCAAUUCCAAUCCCAUAAAAACCCUUUCGCUGUUCAAAGAAUUGUCGACGACAAAGCCUUCUAUAAUUGAUAAUGAUAGCUACUUUCUUUUAUAAUCCACCAAAGCAUGCAUUCGAAUAUCCUUGGUUAGAGAAGGAAUGCGAAUUCAUAAUGUUGUCAAUAAACUUAGGAGUCCAUUAAACUUCCUUAAUUAGUGGGAAAUCUUGAUGAUGCACGCCAUGUGUCUGAGGGAAUUACCAGCAAGAAUGUCAAUUGCUGGACAGAGUUGAUUGCUGCCUGUUUUGAUAAUCAGGACUCAAACAAAGCUAUUACUAUACAGAUGUUCAGAGAAAUGCAGACGGACAAUGUGUAUUCAUGCUUAUAUUCGCCUUUUCCAUGUGCGCACUGAGUGGAUUCGUGCUUAUAUUCGAUGAGAAAGAUAGUUGAAGACAGAUUUAAGCCUGAAAAAUGCACUGACAGCAUGAAAAGUAAGGACGUCAAUGAUUGUAAGGCAUGUAACGUUGUUCAAGUAGAACUCAUUUAAUCGUUCCUAAAUCUGACAAUGUAUCUUAAUGGCUAUGGCAAAACUCUAUUGAGGUGGGAAUUGAAUUCAUGAGUU